ACUCAAAGGAAUUGACGGGGACCCGCACAAGCGGUGGAGCGUGUUGUUUAAUUCGAUGGUAAGCGAAGAACCUUACCCAGGCUUGACAUCCUUGGAAUUUCUGCGAAAGCAGAGAGUGUCUUCGGAAGCCAAGUGACAGGUGAUGCAUGGCCGUCGUCAGCUCGUGUCGUGAGAUGUUUGGUUAAGUCCAUCAACGAGCGCAACCCUUGUGAUUAGUUGUAUUUUUCUAAUCAGACUGCCCUGGCAACAGGGAGGAAGGGGGGGAUGAUGUCAGGUCAGUAUUUCCCUUACGUCUGGGGCUACAAACACGCUACAAUGGCCGGUACAAAGGGCUGCCAACCCGCGAGGGGGAGCAAAUCCCAUCAAAGCCGGUCCCAGUUCGGAUAGCAGGCUGAAACUCGCCUGCUUGAAGUCGGAAUCGCUAGUAAUGGUAGGUCAGCACACUACCGUGAAUACGUUCCCGGGUCUUGCACACACCGCCCGU
rnacentral:rRNA from 1 species